AGUUCGGACUGGAGUCUGCAACCCGACUCCACGAAGUUGGAUUCGCUAGUAAUCGCGCAUCAGCCAUGGCGCGGUGAAUACGUUCCCGGGCCUUGUACACACCGCCCGUCAAGCCAUGGGGAGCCCGGGGGCGCCUGAAGUCCGGGACCGCGAGGACCGGCCUAGGGCGAAACGUGGUAACUGGGGCUAAGUCGUAACAAGGUAGC
rnacentral:rRNA from 1 species